UACGAGGGGAGCAAGCGUUGUUCGGAUUUACUGGGCGUAAAGCGCACGCAGGCGGUCUUGUCAGUCUGUAGGGACAGGGCACAGCUCAACUGUGUCAGGCUUACGGAAACUGCAAGACUUGAGGGCUUCAGAGGGAUGGGGAAUUCCGGGUGGAGUGGUGAAAUGCGUAGAUAUCGGGAAGAACACCGGUGGCGAAGGCGGCUCGCUGGGCCGUUGCUGACGCUGAGGCGCGAAAGCGUGGGGAGCAAACAGG
rnacentral:rRNA from 1 species